GUGAGAAAGGUGAAUGUCAGCCAUAUUCUUUCAACUUAAGAAUAGUCAUUCACCUACAUUUCUCAACUACCUAGCUCAUGUAUGGCUCCUCGAAUGCCACGCCCUGGGCAACAGUCUUGGCUGACUGGCUAAAUACAUGAGUAAUUUAUGAGCUUAAUAAUAUUUACAGGAAAGUCCAUGUUUUGCAUGAAUCAAAACAAGAAAUCGGCAGGAAAUGACAUCAUAGGUUGUAUGUAACAAUCUACAUCUAAAAAUGUAUUAAAAACUUUUGUAGUUGUAGUUAAAAAUGUUCCAAUUAGUUUCAAUUUCUCAUUGAUUAUCUGAUUUCUGACUAGCAAUCUAGAAAUUGUUUAUUUUUUUUUACUUUAAAUGGACAUCACAAAUUUUGCAUUGUUCAUCAUUAAUAAUUUUGAUAAUUUUUCUAGGAUUUUAAUUUUAAAAGUACAAAAUCUUUUUUCCACAUGCAUUUAACAUUGAACAUUUAAUAAAAUAAUUUUUUUUAUGUUUGUAUUAUAGACAGAGCUUGAGUGUUGUGUCAGGCAUGGUUAUGCAAUCUUUGAUGAUACAAACAUGUGGCUUUGGGUGCCUUCUACAUUGAGACUACAUGAAGAGAUCAUAAAGGCCACCAAACAGUCCAUCGUCCACAUAACCAGAUCCAGUAUGCAGAGAAGUCCAAAGUAAGCAUUAAACCCAAUUCAGCCCUAUUCUAUGGAGUGGGAAGUUGCUUUCAAGUAAGAGAUCGUCACAUUUAUCUAUACAUAUCUUAUAGAUAAGAAUGAUCUAUGCAUGCACUACAGAUGCUGUUCUUUUCACGAGGAAGCCUGCUCAAGAAGCUGCUGCAUGAAAGUCAAAAUAUGAUCGCUUUACUGAUGUUGAUAUUAUUGCCACCACCCUUGAAGUUAGCCUGUUAAGAAUGCAGAUGAUGAAAUGAAAAUGCUUUCUUCAUUUCUUGUUUGUGUCAUUAU